AGCGAACGCUGGCGGCAGGCCUAACACAUGCAAGUCGAACGAACCUUUCGGGGUUAGUGGCGGACGGGUGAGUAACACGUGGGAACGUGCCUUUAGGUUCGGAAUAACUCAGGGAAACUUGUGCUAAUACCGAAUGUGCCCUUCGGGGGAAAGAUUUAUCGCCAUUAGAGCGGCCCGCGUCUGAUUAGCUAGUUGGUUGAGGUAAUGGCUCACCAAGGCGACGAUCAGUAGCUGGUCUGAGAGGAUGAUCAGCCACAUUGGGACUGAGACACGGCCCAAACCCCUCCGGGAGGCGGCAGUGGGGAUCCUUGCGAAUUGGCCGAAGGCCUGCCGCACCCUUCCGGGGUGAUUAAUGAGGGUUUAAGGUUUGAAAAUUCUUUCCCCCGGGACGGUAAUUGCGGUAACCCGAGGAGGAGGCCCCGCUUACUUCCGU
rnacentral:rRNA from 1 species